rnacentral:rRNA from 1 species
UACGAAGGGGGCUAGCGUUGCUCGGAAUCACUGGGCGUAAAGCGCACGUAGGCGGAUUGUUAAGUCAGGGGUGAAAUCCUGGAGCUCAACUCCAGAACUGCCUUUGAUACUGGCGAUCUCGAGUCCGGGAGAGGUGAGUGGAACUGCGAGUGUAGAGGUGAAAUUCGCAGAUAUUCGCAAGAACACCAGUGGCGAAGGCGGCUCACUGGCCCGGUACUGACGCUCAGGCACGAAAGCGUGGGGAGCAAACAGG